rnacentral:tRNA from 1 species
GUCCCCGUAGCUCAGCGGACAGAGCACCGGAUUACGGAUCCGGCGGCCGGGAGUUCGAAUCUCUCCGGGGACACGA